rnacentral:lncRNA from 1 species
AUGGUUUAGGAAACUUCUAGUGGCUUGAGGUAUCGGCGGGAGUGGCCAGGUGGCGGGAGGAACCGUUACGGGAACUGAAGUUGCCGAUUAAGCCUGAUCAAGAUGCCAAGCUCCCAAAAGCACUGAGACUUCAGGGCAGAGCCCAUGGGGGAAAAGCCAGUGGGGAGCCUGGCCGGGAUGGGUGAAGUCCUGGGCAAGAAGCUGGAGGAAAGGGGCUUUGACAAGGCCUAUGUUGUCCUUGGCCAGUUUCUGGUGCUGAGGAAAGAUGAAAACCUGUUCCAAGAGUGGCCGAAGGACUCGUGGUGCCAACGCCAAGCAGUCCCGGGACUUCGGAUGCCUUCGAGAGCAUGUGACGCCUUCUUGUGAUGCUCUCCGGGAAGCUCUCGAUCCCCAGCCCUCAUGCAGAGUUUACGGCUGAGCAGGGACUCCUCCCCUGUCCUCUGCAAAGGAAAAGAUUGCUACUGUCACACUCACCUCCAACGUACUCUGGGAUCUUUUGGGAGUUUUCUCCCCUAACCAUUUCAACUUCUUUGGAUUCUCGUUCUUGCAGGACUCCCACUUCCUUUUUCCCUUGCCAGUUGCCUGGCGACAGUUACCAGCUUUCCUGAAUGGACUCCUGGCCCCGUUCUUCACCCCCACCCUCACUUUCAGUCCAUUUGAUACCAUUUGGCUCUUUUUUGGCAGGACAGUCACUGUCCUUGUAAAGUUCUUUAGAUCAAGAAAGUCAGUGGCUUUCAUGAAAGAAAAAAAAGUAAAAUAAAAAGGAAAUUAUGGUUUAGGAGUCAGGCAGCUGGAGGCCACGAGAUUCUAAACCUCCCCAAUUACUCUUAGGGAAAACGUCACUAUUGUAAAACCUAAGAUUGGUGCUCGAGACAUUUUUCGGACUCUGAACUUGGUGGAACAGCUGGUGCCACCCAGAUCCGUGAACCGGCUCAUCUCGUCUUGUGGCCCCCACUUAGGAAGCACAAAAGGACAGACUCAGCUCCCUGUGAUUUCAUCUGCAACCCAACCUAUCAGGACUCCCCACUUCCCAACCACUAUCCACCAAAUUCUCCUUUAAAAUUUGAGUAGUAAUAAAACUCC